AGAGUUUGAUCCUGGCUCAGGACGAACGCUGGCGGCACGCUUAACACAUGCAAGUCGAACGAGAGAAGAGGAGCUUGCUUUUCUGAUCUAGUGGCGGACGGGUGGGUAACACGUGAGCAAUCUGCCUUUCAGAGGGGGAUACCGAUUGGAAACGAUCGUUAAUACCGCAUAACAUAAUUGAACCGCAUGAUUUGAUUAUCAAAGAUUUAUCGCUGAAAGAUGAGCUCGCGUCUGAUUAGCUAGUUGGUAAGGUAACGGCUUACCAAGGCGACGAUCAGUAGCCGGACUGAGAGGUUGAUCGGCCACAUUGGGACUGAGACACGGCCCAGACUCCUACGGGAGGCAGCAGUGGGGAAUAUUGCACAAUGGAGGAAACUCUGAUGCAGCGAUGCCGCGUGAGGGAAGAAGGUUUUAGGAUUGUAAACCUCUGUCUUCAGGGACGAAAAAAGACGGUACCUGAGGAGGAAGCUCCGGCUAACUACGUGCCAGCAGCCGCGGUAAUACGUAGGGAGCGAGCGUUGUCCGGAAUUACUGGGUGUAAAGGGAGCGUAGGCGGGACCGCAAGUCAGAUGUGAAAACUAUGGGCUUAACCCAUAAACUGCAUUUGAAACUGUGGUUCUUGAGUGAAGUAGAGGUAAGCGGAAUUCCUAGUGUAGCGGUGAAAUGCGUAGAUAUUAGGAGGAACAUCAGUGGCGAAGGCGGCUUACUGGGCUUUAACUGACGCUGAGGCUCGAAAGCGUGGGGAGCAAACAGGAUUAGAUACCCUGGUAGUCCACGCCGUAAACGAUGAUUACUAGGUGUGGGGGGACUGACCCCUUCCGUGCCGCAGCAAACGCAAUAAGUAAUCCACCUGGGGAGUACGACCGCAAGGUUGAAACUCAAAGGAAUUGACGGGGGCCCGCACAAGCAGUGGAGUAUGUGGAUUAAUUCGAAGCAACGCGAAGAACCUUACCAGGUCUUGACAUCGUAUGCAUAGCUCAGAGAUGAGUGAAAUCUCUUCGGAGACAUAUAGACAGGUGGUGCAUGGUUGUCGUCAGCUCGUGUCGUGAGAUGUUGGGUUAAGUCCCGCAACGAGCACAACCCUUACUGUUAGUUGCUACGCAAGAGCACUCUAGCAGGACUGCCGUUGACAAAACGGAGGAAGGUGGGGAUGACGUCAAAUCAUCAUGCCCCUUAUGACCUGGGCCUCACACGUACUACAAUGGCUGUCAACAGAGGGAAGCAAAGCCGCGAGGUGGAGCGAACCCCUAAAAGCAGUCUUAGUUCGGAUUGUAGGCUGCAACCCGCCUACAUGAAGUCGGAAUUGCUAGUAAUCGCAGAUCAGCAUGCUGCGGUGAAUACGUUCCCGGGCCUUGUACACACCGCCCGUCACGCCAUGGGAGUCGGUAACACCCGAAGCCUGUAGUCUAACCGCAAGGAGGACGCAGUCGAAGGUGGGAUUGAUGACUGGGGUGAAGUCGUAACAAGGUA
rnacentral:rRNA from 1 species